rnacentral:rRNA from 1 species
UAGGGAAUCUUCGGCAAUGGGGGGAACCCUGACCGAGCAACGCCGCGUGAGUGAAGAAGGUUUUCGGAUCGUAAAGCUCUGUUGUUAAGGAAGAACGAGUGUGAGAAUGGAAAGUUCAUGCUGUGACGGUACUUAACCAGAAAGGGACGGCUAACUACGUGCCAGCAGCCGCGGUAAUACGUAAGGUCCGAGCGUUGUCCGGAAUCAUUGGGCGUAAAGGGUACGUAGGCGGGUAAGCAAGUUAGAAGUGAAAUCCUGUAGCUCAACUACAGUAAGCUUUUAAAACUGCUCAUGUUGAGAUAUGGAAGGGAAAGUGGAAUUCCUAGUGUAGCGGUGAAAUGCGCAGAUAUUAGGAGGAAAACCGGUGGCGAAGGCGACUUUCUGGCCAUAAUCUGACGCUGAGGUACGAAAGCGUGGGUAGCAAACAGG